AAGACUAUAGACCUGCGGAGUACCUGCGGAAGGAUCAUUAAUCAUGCUCCUGCAUACCUGCUCCCUGGCCCGCCUCAUCCCCACCCAGGGGGUGAGAUUCGGCGCCGCGAGUGACAACCCACUGUGAACCUUAUAUACUUUUGCUUCGGCUGCACGCCACAUGCUUGGCGGUAAGGCGGCCGGCAGCAACCCUUAAAAACUAUAUUCAUUAAGUUGAACAAACCUUGCAGUCUGAUUUAC
rnacentral:misc_RNA from 1 species